rnacentral:rRNA from 1 species
UGGGGAAUAUUGGACAAUGGGCGCAAGCCUGAUCCAGCCAUGCCGCGUGAGUGAUGAAGGCCUUAGGGUUGUAAAGCUCUUUCGCCGGUGAAGAUAAUGACGGUAACCGGAGAAGAAGCCCCGGCUAACUUCGUGCCAGCAGCCGCGGUAAUACGAAGGGGGCUAGCGUUGCUCGGAAUCACUGGGCGUAAAGCGCGCGUAGGCGGAUCGUUAAGUCAGGGGUGAAAUCCUGGAGCUCAACUCCAGAACUGCCCUUGAUACUGGCGAUCUCGAGUUCGAGAGAGGUUGGUGGAACUCCGAGUGUAGAGGUGAAAUUCGUAGAUAUUCGGAAGAACACCAGUGGCGAAGGCGGCCAACUGGCUCGAUACUGACGCUGAGGUGCGAAAGCGUGGGGAGCAAAACAGGAUUAGAUACCCUGGUAGUCCACGCCGUAAACGAUGGAUGCUAGCCGUUGGGGGGUUUACCUCUCAGUGGCGCAGCUAACGCCUUAAGCAUCCCGCCUGGGGAGUACGGUCGCAAGAUUAAAACUCAAAUGAAUUGACGGGGUCAUAGCUG